GUGGAGUUUCCUAGGGAGCUGCAAGACAAAUCAAAUACUUCUCUGAAGACGAGGCUCUUUGGGAGCUUCAAAUCCAGGGCACGCCUCUAGUGGCUGCCAGACUGCUGGCUUUCACAGCUACCAGGGUUUUAAAGCUACUUAUUUUCAAUGCUACCACAGGACUGGGACUUGGGGAAUGGAAAUAUGAUCCCGUAGGCCCAUACUUGCACCAACUUAUGUCUGGUGCAACAAUGACACCAACGAUGUCUCCUGCUUACAACAACAAAAAUUUCUUUCUCAUCAUGCUGCAUGUCCAUCAAAGGUCGUCUUCUCUCGAGGCAGUCUCUAACUGGAAUGUUGGCACCGGUUGCAUUUCAUUGGGUAAAGCUAUACAUUUGUCAGGUCUCCAGGACUUUGAUUAACAGUGGGAGUAACAGAGCAAUCACUGUCUUAGUAACAACUUCAAAGGGAAGAUGCAUCAAGUUGAGGAAGACAUUGAUACAGGCUUUCUUCAGAGUCCUUAUCAAAAUGUGUCAACAGGCCACGACUUUGGCCUGGGUGUGUCAUUUGCUGUCCUGUUGCUGCAGUGGAGCAGGAAGAGCAAAGCUUCACACUCAGGGGCUGUAGGAUGCUAUCCAGCCUGAGGCUAUAAGGAUAUAAGCUUGGCCAUCUCUCCCACCACAGAAAGUCUGUCUUGAGAAUGGAACCUACAUACAGAAGGAAGAAAAGCCGAAAGAUGGAGAUGGAUGAGGCAGACAACAACAAAGAAAACUCCAAUAUGUCAUUUGUGUCACUGAAUUUUGAUAUGAAGAAUCAAGCUGGUUCCAGAUAUGGGAGGUAGUAGGACACAUGCGGAGCCAAUCAGAGCCCUUACAUGGGACUUUGGGGAUUCAGAGAGAGCAGCAUCUGCUGGUGGUAGAAGCUUGAAAACAUGAAAUUCACAAGCUGUCAGUGGCCAUGUCAAUUUCCAUUCAGGAGAGACCCGCCUAUAGCUGGAGAAAAUGGAGUUAACUCAGGG
rnacentral:lncRNA from 1 species